rnacentral:siRNA from 1 species
GUGGACGAUUGUAAUUCCGGGCCU